AUACGCAGGGGGCAAGCGUUAUCCGGAUUUACUGGGUGUAAAGGGAGCGUAGACGGCAAAGUAAGUCUGAAGUGAAAGCCCCGGGCUCAACCCGGGAACUGCUUUGGAAACUAUUUAGCUAGAGUGCAGGAGCGGUAAGUGGAAUUCCUAGUGUAGCGGUGAAAUGCGUAGAUAUUAGGAGGAACACCGGCGGCGAAGGCGGCUUACUGGACUGUAACUGACGUUGAGGCUCGAAAGCGUGGGGAGCAAACAGGAUUAGAUACCCUGGUAGUCCACGCCGUAAACGAUGAUCACUAGGUGUUGGGAGGCAAAGCCUUUCGGUGCCGCAGCUAACGCAAUAAGUGAUCCACCUGGGGAGUACGUUCGCAAGAAUGAAACUCAAAGGAAUUGGCGGGG
rnacentral:rRNA from 1 species